rnacentral:rRNA from 1 species
AUGUGCGCCAUGAGCAAGGCGCCGGAUGGCGUCAGGAAGGCAGUGUGGGGGUGCCCUGCUCGCCCGAAGGUACGGGUAUUUGCAUGCAGGGUUGCGACAAAUUCUUUGGCUAAACCUGAUAAUAAAUGUAAACAUACACUUGAGGUGUCAGAGGACCCCAAGCAGGAGAUGAAGUGGAGAGUGUUUCGCUCCCGCCGCCGCAAGCCUGCUGGUCUGACGGAGUUCGUCGUCGGCGCCGUGAUGCGCCUCCCGGUGCCUAUUCCUACGGUGCCUGCUCCAGCGGUGAAGGAGGAGGCGUUGGGGGAUCUGGUGGCCAGCACAGCAGAGAUGGGAGUGAAGCCUGGUGCAAGGAAGAACAAGGCGAAGAUGCCGCUGGUGAUAAGGAGAUCCCCAUGCUUCUCCCGUCGUUCGCCGCGUCUGCUCAGCCUCGCUCGCCUCCAGCAGGGAUGGGAGUCUCGCCGGCGGGCAGCCGCUUCUGGCUGCUCGCUGGUGAGGACUCUAACGGGGAUGCUGGGACCUCGUCAGAUCUAG